GCCUACGGGAGGCAGCAGUGGGGAAUAUUGGACAAUGGGGGGAACCCUGAUCCAGCGACGCCGCGUGAGUGAAGAAGUAUUUCGGUAUGUAAAGCUCUAUCAGCAGGGAAGAAAGAAAUGACGGUAACUGACUAAGAAGCCCCGGCUAACUACGUGCCAGCAGCCGCGGUAAUACGUAGGGGGCAAGCGUUAUCCGGAUUUACUGGGCGUAAAGGGAGCGUAGACGGAAUUGCAAGUCUGAUGUGAAACGC
rnacentral:rRNA from 1 species